rnacentral:rRNA from 1 species
AACGAACGCUGGCGGCAUGCCUAACACAUGCAAGUCGAACGAGACCUUCGGGUCUAGUGGCGGACGGGUGCGUAACGAGUGGGAAGCUGCCCUUGGGUUAGGAAUCACUCACCGAAAGGGGACCUCAUACCGGAUAAUGUCAUAGGAGAUAAGAUGUUUCGCUUUUGGAUGGGCGCGCGUUGGAUUCGUCGGUUGGUAGGGUAAAAGCAUGUCAAGGCGAGGAUCCAUGGCUGGUCUGAGAGGAUGAUCAUCAACACUGGGACUGAGACACGGCCCAGCCUCGUACGGGAGGGAGCGGUGGAGAGUAUUGUACAAUGGGCGAAAGCCUGAUCCAGCAAUGCCGGGGGAGUGAUGAAGGCGGUAGGGUUGUAAAUCUGUUUUACCCGGGACGAUAAUGACAGUAACGGGUAAAGAAGCACCGGCUAACUACGUG